rnacentral:lncRNA from 1 species
GCCCUCCCAUUUCCGGAAGCCUGGCGCAAGGUUGGUCUGCAGGUGGCCUCCAGGUGCAAAGUGGGAAGUGUGAGUCCUCAGUCUUGGGCUAUUCGGCCACGUGCCUGCCGGACAUGGGACGCUGGAGGGUCAGCAGCGUGGAGUCCUGGCCUUUUGCGUCCACGGGUGGGAAAUUGGCCAUUGCCACGGCGGGAACUGGGACUCAGGCUGCCCCCCGGCCGUUUCUCAUCCGUCCACCGGACUCGUGGGCGCUCGCACUGGCGCUGAUGUAGUUUCCUGACCUCUGACCCGUAUUGUCUCCAGAUUAAAGGUACGACAUUUGGAGGCCCCAGCGAGAAACGUCACCGGGAGAAACGUCACCGGGCGAGAGCCGGGCCCGCUGUGUGCUCCCCCGGAAGGACAGCCAGCUUGUAGGGGGGAGUGCCACCUGAAAAAAAAAUUUCCAGGUCCCCAAAGGGUGACCGUCUUCCGGAGGACAGCGGAUCGACUACCAUGUGGGUGCCCACAAAAAUUCCACCUCUGAGUCCUCAACUGCUGACCCCGGGGUCAGUCUCCCCAACAGGUACAAGAUAUCAUCCUGCCACUUGUUCGAGGAACCCAUCCCAAUCCAAUUCCUGAACAGACAGGGCCCUGCCAUUCAUUCCCGCCAGGUGACCUGUUGUUUGUUAAAAAGUUCCAGAGAGAAGGACUCCCUCCUGCUUGGAAGAGACCUCACACCGUCAUCACGAUGCCAACGGCUCUGAAGGUGGAUGGCAUUCCUGCGUGGAUUCAUCACUCCCGCAUCAAAAAGGCCAACGGAGCCCAACUAGAAACAUGGGUCCCCAGGGCUGGGUCAGGCCCCUUAAAACUGCACCUAAGUUGGGUGAAGCCAUUAGAUUAAUUCUUUUUCUUAAUUUUGUAAAACAAUGCAUAGCUUCUGUCAAACUUAUGUAUCUUAAGACUCAAUAUAACCCCCUUGUUAUAACUGAGGAAUCAAUGAUUUGAUUCCCCAAAAACACAAGUGGGGAAUGUAGUGUCCAACCUGGUUUUUACUAACCCUGUUUUUAGACUCUCCCUUUCCUUUAAUCACUCAGCCUUGUUUCCACCUGAAUUGACUCUCCCUUAGCUAAGAGCGCCAGAUGGACUCCAUCUUGGCUCUUUCACUGGCAGCCGCUUCCUCAAGGACUUAACUUGUGCAAGCUGACUCCCAGCACAUCCAAGAAUGCAAUUAACUGAUAAGAUACUGUGGCAAGCUAUAUCCGCAGUUCCCAGGAAUUCGUCCAAUUGAUUACACCCAAAAGCCCCGCGUCUAUCACCUUGUAAUAAUCUUAAAGCCCCUGCACCUGGAACUAUUAACGUUCCUGUAACCAUUUAUCCUUUUAACUUUUUUGCCUACUUUAUUUCUGUAAAAUUGUUUUAACUAGACCCCCCCUCUCCUUUCUAAACCAAAGUAUAAAAGCAAAUCUAGCCCCUUCUUCAGGCCGAGAGAAUUUCGAGCGUUAGCCGUCUCUUGGCCACCAGCUAAAUAAACGGAUUCUUCAUGUGUCUCAAA